CUGAAACCAAGUGGGCAGCUGGGCUCAGUUCUUGUGUGGAGGCCCUGGGGUCAAACCUGCCUCCAAGCCCAUUCUCUUCUUGUUGGCAGAACUCACUUCCUUGCAGUUAAGGCCUUGUUGUCUUGCUGGCUGUUGGCUGGGAGCAGUUCUCAGAUCCUUGCCACGUGGCCCCCUCAUCUCAACAACAGAAAACCUUCUUUGGUUUGAUCCCUCCGAUUUCUUCAACCAGCCAAAGGAAACUGCUUUUAAAGGGCUCCUGUGAUGAGAUCCUGCCCAUCCCCUGGGCUCACA
rnacentral:lncRNA from 1 species